AACUACCAUCGGGCAUCCUGAUCGAUCGAUCGAGAUCGAAAACUGCUAGCCUCAAGAGCGAGACUCGCCCAAGAUCAACGCCGCCGUCUCCUCACUGGCGGGAUCGCUGCCAACCUGCUGGAUCGGACGCCACCCCCUCGUCAUCUGCGGAAUCCUGGCCGCCCCUAACCCUACACCUUGUUCUCCACGGCCCAGUCCGGUGGAACGCGCCGCUACUCUCCUCACCAGCGGGAUUGGAGCCGACGCCCAACAGCCUCAACAUCGGGAUCGCAGUCUUUGGUACCAGGUGCUGCUUCCGCUGUAACCAGUAUCGGUUGAUCUCAGGGUCUUUCUGCUAGGUGAAUUGGUUGACUUCUCAGCUUGUCUGAUGAUUGGGUUUGUAUCCGAUGCAAAAUACUGACUUCCAUUAGUUCACUUAACCUGGGCAAGCAAGUUAAUUUCAUUCUGAGUUUGUUAAUGAUUCUGCCACUACAUUUGGUGAGUAUGUGUCGGCCUUUGUUCUGCCUGUGCUAGGUGAAUAUACAAGACUAUUGCUUCAAGAUCAGGGGGAUAGCUCAACAUCGUCCACUGCUCGUCAGUUAAAUUUCACCGAAGGACCUAGUAUACCCGGUUUCAGUGGUCAUGAUCAUCAAAGUAGUAUCACAAAAGUGUGUUGAUACUUUAUCGUUUUUCAAAGUAUGUAAACAAGCGUGAUGUCUUUUUUGUAUGAGAAUAUUCUUCUGAAUAUGCAAGUUCUAAAGCUUCUGCUAGCCUUUAAAUUAUAAUUUAUGCCUCUGAACUAGUGGCUUAAUUUCGAGUUUGCUUCUGAUA